UUUGAUCGGUGAGAUGCGGUCAUGUGACAGAGCCUCUGCUGGAAGUCUCGACAAAACAUAAACAGACCACACAUCGCACGGAUCAAUAAAAAUAAAGUAGCGAGUAACGAACAGAAUAUAGCCCAAUGUAACGGAGUAAAAGUACCGCUUCUUCUUCUUCACAAAUAUACUCAAGUAAAAGACAUUCUGUCGCAUGUCCCAGACCCGGUGAAAUGUAACUGAAUUGUCUUGGCCAGCCCUAAGGGUCCCAUCUGCAUCUCAUCAUUGCUGAGGAGUGUGCUCCCAUCACCCAAUCAAGCAUCCAGCCAGAGCAGGUCAUGAUAUAUUUUUUACCAUAUUAACAUGCCAUUGUUGUGUGUUAUGCCUGAUGUAAAGACUCUCGUCUCUGCGAGCCUACCACACAGAUUUAAUACUUGUCAUUUUUAGGGCAUACCUAACAACCUGUGUUUUCUUUCUCCCCCCCCAAUCUGUCCCUCUGAGUUACAUGUUGAUCCUGGGAUUGAGUUGCUGGCCUCUUCUGCCCCUCAGACCUGCUUGAUCCAUCCUGGUGCCCUGUGUCUGGUCAGAGUUUUAUCGCACCGCUCCUGUGAAGGACGGCCCCAUGAGGACAGUUGAGGGCUAUACCUGUUAAAACUGUUAAUAUUAUAGUCAGGCUGUCUGUUGUUGUCCAAAUGAGGAUGGGUUCCCUUUUGAGUCUGGUUCCUCUCGAGGUUUCUUCCUCAUGUCGUCUGAGGGAGUUUUUCCUUGCCACCGUCGCCACAGGCUUGCUCAUUGGGGAUAGAUUAGGGAUAAAAUUAGCUCAUGUUUUAAGUCGUUCAAAUUCUGUAAAGCUGCUUUGCGACAAUGUUUCUUGUUAAAAGCUCUAUACAAAUAAACUUGAUUUGAUUUUUUUGCCCCAAACAAA